rnacentral:rRNA from 1 species
UACGUAGGUGGCAAGCGUUAUCCGGAAUGACUGGGCGUAAAGGGUGCGUAGGUGGUUUGGCAAGUUGGCGGCGUAAUUCCGAGGCUCAACCUCGGCGCUACCGCCAAAACUGUCGAACUUGAGUGCAGGAGGGGUAAGUGGAAUUCCUAGUGUAGCGGUAGAAUGCGUAGAUAUUAGGAGGAACAUCGGUGGCGAAGGCGACUUACUGGACUGUAACUGACACUGAGGCACGAAAGCGUGGGGAGCAAACAGG